AGGCACCGUGCCAGUGACUAUGGGUACAAAGACGGAUAAAGCAUGAAUUUGCCUGGACAUAACUCACAGCUUACCAGAGCAGGAAAACCUUGGUACCAUCGGAAAGCAGUGCUGAUUCAGACCCCAAGUGAGCAUUCUUGGAUUUCAUGCAAGAAAUAAUUCAGGAUACAUGGCUUCUAUCUCUAUGAUUUCUAAGAGGUAGAGCUGAAGUUGGAAUUCAGCUAUGCUUGUUCUGAUUCACUGCAUAAACAGAAGGUGGAAGGAAUAAAGGAGUGAUCAGAAACAAGUCUCACGAUUCUGGAGACAAGAAAGUCCACAAUCAAGGUGCUGGCAGAUCCGGUGACAGAAACUCUUAUCAACAGAGCAAACAGACAACCUAUAGAAUGGGAGAAAAUAUUUGCAAGAUAUGCAUCUGACAAAGUUCUGACAUCCAACAUCUAUAAGGAGCUUGAACAAAUUCAUAAGGAAAAAACAAACAACCCCAUUGAAUUUUCUGAUGACUAAUAAUGCUGAACACAUUUUCAUGUGCGUAUUUUCCAUUGAUAUAUCUUCUUUAGUGAGGUCUUUAUUUUUCCAAUCAUUUGCCAUUUUAAAAAUUAGAUAGUUUGUUGUCUUGAGUUGUGAAAGUUUUUAUGUAUUCUGAUAUGUCUUUUUCAGGUACAAGGUUUGCAAAUUUGAGAUUCCUUUUAGUCUCUCCAUAUUGCAUGUUUCCUACUAAAAUAAAGUUGCAACUAAAGAGAUUGAACUACUGAAUACAAACUAACAAAUGCAUGAUUUUAAGAUUUUUAAAAGACAAUUAUAUGAUAAGUUAGAGUAAAUGGCUAUUACUGAAUUAGUUGCUUAAAGAAAUUGAGUAAAAAAACUCUCAACAUACCAAAAAAAGGUAAUAUUGCAAAAAACUAUAGAAAGAGAUUUCUCUAACCUUAAGCAAGACGUUAUACUGUCAAAUUGAAGCUUUAAUUGUGGUCUAGACAGCACUUAUUUUAAAAGACUUUAGCAUACCUUGUACAAUUGUUGGAAUCUCAAGACAAGGAAACAAAAAAUCUCUCUGACAGAAAGAUAAAGUGUAUGGCUUUUCUGCACUUCAGCUUAAUGAUGUAAUCUAUUAUGGCAAUACAUUUUCUGAUAUGGAAAAAUUAACACAUUCCUAGAAUAAUUUCUAUCCUUUUUAUACUUUGCUAGGUACUAUUUUCUAAUGUUUUAUUUAAAAAUUACACAUCUAUUUUUUCAAUGGGUAUUCUUUCUCUGUUUUCUUUCUCCAUCUUAUUCAUGUUUUAGUAUUUAGAAAUAGGUAACUGCCUAAAACAAACAAACAAAAAAAACUUUUAUCUUUUUUUAUCAUUUUUCUUUUCUUUUUAUUUAUUUAGUUAGUUAGUUAGUUAGUUAUUUUUGAGACAGACUGUCACUCUGUCACCCUGGCUGGAGUGAGUGCUGUGGUGUGAUUUCAGCUCACUGCAACCUCUGCCUCCUGGGUUCAAGUGAUUCUCAUGCCUCAGCCUCCUGAGUAGCUGGAGUUACAGAUGUGCACCACCGCACCCGGCUAAUUUUUGUAUUUUUAGUAGAGACGGGGAAUCACCAUGUUGGCAAGGCUGGUCUUGAACUCCUGACCUCAAGUCAAGUCAUCCACCCACCUUGGCCUCUUAAAGUGCUGGGAUAACAGGCAUGAGUCACUGCGCCUGGCUGUCAACUUUUACCUUUUCUGAUUAGUUGGAAUACUUAAGUUUCAGGAUAAUUUUUUUUUUUUUUUUUUUUUAGAGAUUAGAUAAACCUCUUUUAUGAAAUUAUGUUGUCCUGGAGCCUUUAUACAAAACACACACACAUGCACUCUUUAAUCAUCACCUUUCCAAUCUCUUCUAAAAUCAUUUGUAUAUUUAUUUUAGUGUGCUUUUCUCUUUUCUUGGAUCAAUUUUGGGAAUGUAUACUUUACUAGGAUAUAAUCUAAUCUAUUGUAUUACAGCUUUUGCUAGAAUCACCAAGCAUGUUGAAUCAUAGUAAGUAUUUUAAAUUUGUAAAAAGUCAGUUGUGACUCCAGAAUAUUUACCAUUUGGAAACAGAAGCAGAGAAGAUCACAGACAGUUUACAUUCAAUAUGAUGAAAAAUAAAGAGCCACCAUGCUUUGUUCCUUCUCCUAAGGUUUUCAAUCCAGUCAUAACACCAGCGUUGACUGUUUUUAUUCCUAACAGAUGCUUGUUAUAUUCUCAGUUUGAUUACAAAUUCAGAGGAGGAAAAAACGUGACUUGUCAGCCCUCUUAAACCAAAAGAAAACAUUAAAAAGUAAUAAUAGGGACUAUGAAAGAGCAAGAGUACAUACAACCUACCUAAUAUGUAUGUCUCUUCAUGUCUCUUCAGCACUGUACUGUGUUCAACAUCGAUGAUAAAUAAAAUUUUCAUUUUUCAAUUUAAAACUAAAUUUAAAAUUAAUACAAUUAUCAGUUUAUCAAUUAAGGUAUUUAUUAAUCAGGCAUCUUCACUAUCAUUAAAUAAUAGUUUAUUAGAUAAUUAUGAUUAAUAGUUCAUUAAGAGGGUUAUUUAAUGAUAAUGAAUAUCUGGUGAGCAAUUUCUAUUAAGCAUCUACCAUAUGCAGAUUUUAUGCUUGACUUUAGGGAUUCAAUGUUGUGUUAUUUAACAUUACAAUCCGUGAACAUCUUAUGUUCUAGUGCUUGUUACUGUACUAUAGGCUAUAUCAAAGAUAAGCCAUCAGAGAUGAUUUAAUUUGAAUUUCUUUUAAACAAAUUAAAAAUUAAAUUAUCUGUACUGUUGCAAUACCCGUUUUCCUCAACUUUCUCUUUUCCUUUGCAUUCUACAUUUAUGGGCAGAAAUUUGAAAAGAAAAGAAAAAUGCUGAGCUCUCAUGUUUGAAAAAAAAAAGAGGAAUGUUGAUUCCUCAAAAACACUAUUCAUCCGCAUAGUCUGUUUGAUACACCCAAGAAUACUACCAAGAGG
rnacentral:lncRNA from 10 species